CACAGUCUGCACAAAUCGGCCAAUUAUAGCCCUUUUCAAAAUAAUCAUCUGCGGUGGGAGUUUUGACGAUUAAACGCUGAUAUAUUCUUAAUUUUUCAUAAAACAGUAAAUGCUGUUGAAUGAUGUCAUUGCUCCAUUUAAGCUCCAGCCAGGAAACAUUACAGGAGUGGGCUGAGCGAACCGGUUGCCAUGGCAGCGGAAAACGCCCCACUUCCUGUCCAUCAUGUCCGGUUUCCGCCACUAGAUGUCGCUGUCCAGCCGUCUGCGAAGCCUCAGGACAAACUGAAAUAUUCUGAUGCAGAGGUUCGAGUUCUCACAUUUAGGUGUUAAAUCUGCGAUCUGUGUGUCCGGACUGUGUUGUUUCCAUGGCGACGGGGAGGACAUCGGCAAGUUGACCUCCGACCGAACUGUGACCGGAGCUUCUGCCGGGCUUCAGCUCCGGUUGACUCCCCGACGGUGACGUAGCAGCCGAGCCUCACCUCCGGUCACUCCAGACGCCAUAAAUCUGAAGGAAAGCAGCUCAGAGAGCUUCACCUUCACCGACGUGGGGCUUCUGAAGGAUCGCAUCCAUCAGCUCGGUGGGAACCGAAGCCGAGUCCGUCCGCCAGAGGAAGGGAAAACAAAUACGAGAAGGAAAAAAAAAAUCAAGAAGCAUGAGCUCAUCACCUCAGACUUGGACGGAGGGAAGUGCACUG